rnacentral:rRNA from 1 species
GUGGGGAAUAUUGCACAAUGGGGGAAACCCUGAUGCAGCAACGCCACGUGUGGGAAGAAGCAUUUCGGUGUGUAAACCACUGUCAUGAGGGAAUAAGGCCCUUAUUCGUAAGGGAUUGAAUGUACCUUGAGAGGAAGCACCGGCAAACUUCGUGCCAGCAGCCGCGGUAAUACGAGGGGUGCAAGCGUUGUUCGGAAUUACUGGGCGUAAAGGGAGCGUAGGCGGAGAUUCAAGCGGAUUGUACAAUCCCGGGGCCCAACCCCGGCUCUGCAGUCCGAACUGGAUCUCUUGGAUAGUUCAGGGGCAGGCGGAAUUCCUGGUGUAGCGGUGGAAUGCGUAGAGAUCAGGAAGAACACCGAUGGCGAAGGCAGCCUGCUGGGGACUCAUCGACGCUGAGGCUCGAAAGUGCGGGUAGCAAACAGG